GACGAACGCUGGCGGCGUGCUUAACACAUGCAAGUCGAACGGAAAGGCCCUGCUUUUGUGGGGUGCUCGAGUGGCGAACGGGUGAGUAACACGUGAGUAACCUGCCCUUGACUUUGGGAUACUUCAGGAAACUGGGGCUAAUACCGGAUAGGAGCUCCUGCUGCAUGGGGGGGGUUGGAAAGUUUCGGCGGUUGGGGAUGGACUCGCGGCUUAUCAGCUUGUUGGUGGGGUAGUGGCUUACCAAGGCUUUGACGGGUAGCCGGCCUGAGAGGGUGACCGGCCACAUUGGGACUGAGAUACGGCCCAGACUCCUACGGGAGGCAGCAGUGGGGAAUAUUGCACAAUGGGCGGAAGCCUGAUGCAGCAACGCCGCGUGCGGGAUGACGGCCUUCGGGUUGUAAACCGCUUUCGCCUGUGACGAAGCGUGAGUGACGGUAAUGGGUAAAGAAGCACCGGCUAACUACGUG
rnacentral:rRNA from 1 species